CUUGAACGCUGGCGGUAUGCCUAACACAUGCAAGUCGAGCGAGCGGCGGACGAGUAAGUAAUGCCUAGUAAUCUGCCUAGUAGUGGGCGAUAACUACUAGAAACGGUAGCUAAUACCGCAUACCAUCGGAUGUGCCCAGAUGGUAUUAGCUAGUAGGGGGGGUAAAGGCUCACCUAGGCGACGAUCCCUAGCUGGUCUGAGAGGAUGACCAGCCACACUGGAACUGAGACACGGUCCAGACUCCUACGGGAGGCAGCAGUGGGGAAUAUUGCACAAUGGGCGCAAGCCUGAUGCAGCAAUGCCGCGUGUAUGAAGAAGACCUUCGGGUUGUAAAGUACUUUCAGCGGGGAGGCGUUACCCGCAGAAGAAGCACCGGCUAACUCCGUGCCAGCAGCCGCGGUAAUAC
rnacentral:rRNA from 1 species